CGAUCUUCAAGUGCUAUAUGUUAAUUAAACUUCACAACAUAUAUGUAUGACAUCCCUAAACAAAUUAUGAGCUAAACAAGUGUAAGACGAGCUGUAUUUACUAAUAAAAGUCCUGUUCAGAUUCUAUGUUUUCGUGGCUCCUUUGAAAACUUGUUUAGUUUACUCGAUCAGUCGCAGUGCCGGAACUUGGAAACCAUCUUCUUCCAUAUAUAAUUACAUUUUCUUCUUCUUUUCCCUUCAUAUCUUUUUAAUUAAAAUUUUACAACUCUUGCAAUGGCGACUGAUCACCAAAAUGGUGGAUCUGAUCUUAAUGCACCCUUCCUUGAUGAUCAAAGCCAAACCCAAUCACUGGAUUUAGGAGAUCACAUUGUUGCUCAAACCAAAGAGGUCACCUCUUCUUUCAACACAUGUUUUAAUGGACUCAAUGCUUUAUCAGCAAACAAAGAAACCAAGACGUUGAAUGCGAAAUGAAAGGAAAAAGUGAUCGAGGAGUAGCUCGAGAAAAUAUCGGCUAGGUAAAGUUGAAGUUCAGUUCAGCAUCCGAGUCAAUCCCGACCUCAGCUUAAUUUCUGGUGAUGAAUCUAUCUUUUGGAAAUACGGCAUAUAUUAGGUUUUGUUUUAGUCACUUAAAUAUAUUUUAUGUUUUGGAUGUAAGGUAAUUUGUAAUUUUUAAGAAGUAUUUGAAAUGAAUAAAUGAAUGUUAUUUGAUCAAGAUUUAUAAGUCAA